rnacentral:lncRNA from 1 species
GAAUAAUAUUGCUGUUCCCGGGAUUCAGAUAAAGAUGGCAGCUCUCAAGAUCUGUCCGGAAAAGUCUAGAAGCCUCCAGAUUUCUAAUCAACAGACUAGCGCUCCUCCUCUGUAACUGAGGAACAAGAUGCCAAGGAGACAGGAGAAAGAAGAGAAUUCCCUUCAUGUCUCGGCCAUAAACCCUGAAACAGACUUGUCCAUGAGCCUUGUAAAAUAAGUUACAUUUCUGCAGAGGUGCUUGACGUUCACACCGUUUGGAUUGCUUUAUUAAAA